rnacentral:misc_RNA from 1 species
GGUGUCGCUUGUGGAGGGGAAUCGAGGUUGGGAGGUCGCAUUGACAAUGGAGAAACCUGGAGAGGAGAAGUUUGAGGGGAGUGGGGAGGCGACUCCAUGGUUCCCGAUGGUGAGGAUGGAGGAGGUGAGGGCGAAAAUAAAAAAAAUGUAGGGAGAAAUUAGGGUUUAUGCGGUGGAAAUGUGAGUGGAGAAGAAUAAGAGGGAAAAUGUCGGGAGAAAUGGAGGUGGAAGGACGGUCGUGAAUAGAAGAGUCGGGAAGUGGAGGUGGGAAAAUUGGUUGCCGAAAAGAAAUUUGAUUUGAACAGGGUUUGUGCAAAAACUGCAUAAGUGAAAAGUGAGUUGUGCAUAACUUAUGCACUCUCUU